rnacentral:rRNA from 1 species
UACAGAGGAGACUAGCGUUGUUCGGAAUCACUGGGCUUAAAGCGCACGUAGGCGGCCCGUUAAGUGUCUCGUGAAAUCCCGUUGCUCAACAACGGAACUGCGGGGCAUACUGGCGGGCUUGAGGUUGGUAGAGGUGCCUGGAACUCUAGGUGGAGCGGUGAAAUGCGUAGAUAUCUAGAGGAACGCCAGUGGCGAAAGCGGGGCACUGGGCCAAUUCUGACGCUGAGGUGCGAAAGCGUGGGGAGCAAACAGG